AAACUCUUAGAGCUACUAAACGAGUUCAAGAAUGUUGCAGAAUACAAUAUUUAGAAAUCGGUUGCAUUUCUAUGCUUUAAUAAUGAACAAUCUGAAAAUGAAAUAAUAAAACAAUCCCACUUAUAAAAGAAUAAAAUACUUGGCAAUAAAUUUAACAUAGUAGGAUUGUACACUAAACACUAAAAAACAUUGCUGAAAGAAAUUAAAGAUCUAAAUAAAUGGAAAGACGUCUUCUGUUCACAGAUUAUAAGACUUACUAUUGUUAAGAUGGUGAUACUCCAAAAUGUUCUAUAAAUUCAGUGCAAUCGCUGUCAAAAUUCCAACUGUCGACCAGAUACGGUGGCUCAUACCUGUAAUCCCAGCACUUUGGGAGGUCAACACAGGUGGAUCACCUGAGGUCAGGAGUUUGAGACCAGCCUAACAGAGCAAACCCCCGUCUCUAGUAAAAAAUACAAAAAUUAGCCAGGCAUAGUGGUGGGUGCCUGUAAUCCCAGCUAAUCGGGAGGCUGAGGCACGAGAAUCACGUGAACCCAGGAGGGUUCAAGUACCUCACUGUACUUCACUGCAGAGGCUGCAGUGAGCUGAGAUUGCGCCACUGCACUACAGCCUGGCUGACAGAGUGAGACUGUCUCAAACAACAACAACAACAAAAAUGCCAAUUGUCUUGUUAAGAAAUAGAAAAGUUGAUCCUAAAAUUCAUAGGGAAUUGGAAAAGACACAGACUAGCCGAAAAAACUUGAGAAAGAACACAGCUGGAGUACUUUACUUCAUUUUGAAAACUUACUGCAAAGCUAUAGCAGUCCAGAGAGUGUGAUACUAACUCAAAGCUAGAUCAAUGGAAUAAAACUGGGAGUUCAUAAAUGAACCCAUGCUUUUAUGAUCAUUUGAUUUUUGUUUUUGUUUUUGUUUUGAGACAGGGUCUUGCUUUGUCACCCAGGCUGGAGUGCAGAGGCACAAUCACGGCUCACUGCAGCUUUGACCUCCCAGGCUCAAGCAAUCCUCCCACCUCAGCUCCCCGAGUUUCUGGGACUACAGGCUGGAGUGCAGUGGUGCAAUCUCAGGUCACAGCAACCUCCAUCUCCCAGGUUCCUGGGUUGAAGCGAUUCUCCUGCCUCAGCCUCCCGAGUAACUGGGAUUACAGGGGCCCACCAUCACACUCAGCUAAUUUUUGUAUCUUUUGGACAGAUGGCGUUUCUCCAUGUUAG
rnacentral:lncRNA from 1 species